ensembl:snRNA U6 U6 spliceosomal RNA
GUGCUUGCUUUAGCAGCACAUAUCCUAAAAUUGGAACUAUAUGGAGAAGAUUAGGAUGACACACAAAUUCGUGAAGUUUUCCAUAUUUUA